rnacentral:rRNA from 1 species
AGGGAAUCUUCCGCAAUGGGCGAAAGCCUGACGGAGCAACGCCGCGUGAGUGAUGAAGGUUUUCGGAUCGUAAAGCUCUGUUGCCAGGGAAGAACGUCGGGUAGAGUAACUGCUAUCCGAGUGACGGUACCUGAGAAGAAAGCCCCGGCUAACUACGUGCCAGCAGCCGCGGUAAUACGUAGGGGGCAAGCGUUGUCCGGAAUUAUUGGGCGUAAAGCGCGCGCAGGCGGUCACUUAAGUCUGGUGUUUAAGGCUAGGGCUCAACUCUAGUUCGCACUGGAAACUGGGUGACUUGAGUGCAGAAGAGGAAAGUGGAAUUCCACGUGUAGCGGUGAAAUGCGUAGAGAUGUGGAGGAACACCAGUGGCGAAGGCGACUUUCUGGGCUGUAACUGACGCUGAGGCGCGAAAGCGUGGGGAGCAAAC